CCUACGGGAGGCAGCAGUGAGGAAUAUUGGUCAAUGGGCGCGAGCCUGAACCAGCCAAGCAGCGUGAAGGAUGACUGCCCUACGGGUUGUAAACUUCUUUUAUAAGGGAGUAAAGUGAGGCACGUGUGUCUUUUUGUAUGUACUUUAUGAAUAAGGAUCGGCUAACUCCGUGCCAGCAGCCGCGGUAAUACGGAGGAUCCGAGCGUUAUCCGGAUUUAUUGGGUUUAAAGGGUGCGUAGAUGGGUUGUUAAGUCAGUUGUGAAAGUUUGGGGCUCAACCGUAAAAUUGCAAUUGAUACUGGCAGACUUGAGUAUAGUUGCGGUAGGCGGAAUUCGUGGUGUAGCGGUGAAAUGCUUAGAUAUCACGAAGAACACCGAUUGCGAAGGCAGCUUACUAAACUGCCACUGACGUUGAGGCGCGAAAGCGUGGGUAGCAAACAGGAUUAGAUACCCUUGUAGUC
rnacentral:rRNA from 1 species